CAAACACCUCCCUCACAAAGCUCUCGUCAACCAGCUACACUGUUUGCUGGCAGAAUCAGGCCCUGCAUUUCUGCCAGAAAACCAUUUUGUCCUACUUAAAAGGUCCUGGAUCAAAACAUCUGCAAUGCAUUUGCAAAACAGGAGCAAAAACUGCAAGCCUUUCCAAAAAGAUAAAUCUUCGCAUCUGCUUAAGUGUGGGUGAAGAAUUAUGACUAAGACCAGGCUGGUUGCCCUUCUUUUUCAUAGUCAUCAGGAAGGCUCUUAAGCACUAAAAGCUGGGACAGGACUAUUUUAAGAAGGCAGGUGUUGUAUAAUGCACAUUAUGAUGCUUUUUAAUGUCUUAAUUUUAAAUGCACUCUGGCCUGCUUCCCGGCCUCAUUAAUCCACCAGAAUGAACCACCCUGAGCCCUUAGAUCUGCUGUCCAGUGGGUGUUUAAGGUCAUGCCUGGAAGGCUCCUCUGGUUGCCUAGAAGCUAAAGUCUCUAAGUACAGUAAGGCUUUUAUAAAGUGUUUCAGACUUCAAGUUAAUCAUGUAAUUCUAAUGGUAAUGUGAAACCAUCUACUGAUUAAAAGCUGAAAACAGCAGAAGGAGAUGUUGUCGAUCUAUCCCAGGGAACUACCAUGACUUGUGCCAGGUGCAGACUGCUGGACCUGAGCUUCCUUCCUUCAAAACCUUUGCAUCACCUCAAACACAGGUCUGGCGUGGACACCUGUACAGGAGGAAUUCGCCAGCUAUGGCAUGGACACCAGGUCUGGCGUGGACAGGUGGACAGGCGUGGACNNNNNNNNNNNNNNNNNNNNNNNNNNNNNNNNNNNNNNNNNNNNNNNNNNNNNNNNNNNNNNNNNNNNNNNNNNNNNNNNNNNNNNNNNNNNNNNNNNNNUGGACGGUGGACUGGCGUGGACACCUGUACAGGAGGAAUUCACCAGCUAUGGCGUGGACACCAGGUCUGGCAUGUAACCUGUACAGAAGGAAUUCGCCAGAUCAGGCAUGGGCACCUGUACAGGAAGAACUUGUCAGAUGAGGCGUGGACACCUUGUGCAGGAAGAAUUCACCAGGUCAGAUGUGGAAAGUGGAUCAAUUGCUGUACAGGGGGACGGCAGUCUUGAUGUACAAAUAGCAUUGAGCAUUUCCAUCUGGCUUCACCCUGGAUACGUGCAUUUCCCUGACAAAGGAGUCGACUCAGGGGUGAGGAAGACACUGAGGUUUGCUCAUAACACAACUUCCUUCCCCCCAGCUGUGGGCACGGACAGCCAGCUGUUCAGGAUUUCAGAAUAAAAUUAGUCAACCCUGUGGACGGAUGUGUUUAUUUUAAUCACCGAUAUGUGGAAAAAAAAGACAUCGCAUGUGACCUAUUUCUGGAACCGAACCCCGAUGCAUCGUCCAAAGACCACAUUCAUUGGGUCAGUCAUUGGCUGAAGAGGCACAAGUUCAUAUGUCCCCCCAAAGCCCUUGGUUGGCCAUCUCUGGCCUAGAGGGGCACAGGGCCCCUUGACUUCCCUCCAGCCCCGACCUUCACUCCAUUAAUUCCACUAAUCACCUCUAUUGUUUAUGCACUGAUUGGAAGGGUGGCAGCAUGAUACCAAUGUUAUUCUCCUUCCUCCGUCUCCAGCCAUGGAAACAAUGAUCCUGGUGGUUUUCCAGUAGGGAUUCAGAGCAGUAUGGAACAAAGAGACUAACACGUUAUGCUAAAGGACGGUUUCAGGACUGGGUGCCGAUUACUGCAUUGUUAAGUCUCUGAUCAGUAACAGCAUUAAAUAUGUAUCUUUUACUGGCACCUAGUGGUUGAAGGUGGGAGUGCAUGAGGAGACUACAGAAGCAUGCAGGCCAUUGGCAACAGGAGCUAACUUGAGCCCUUGACAACAUGAAUAUAUUUCAGAUAAUUUAGUAUAAGAAGAGCCCAAUGCAGCUGAACACAUAGCAUCCACAUCUUACAUCUUCUUAAGAAAACAGGAUUUGUGCUUCAGAAAGAAAAAAAUGCCAGCAAUAGUAUACUGAUAGUAAAUAGUAAGAAGCAAUUUCAGAUUAUUCCAACAAUUCAAUUUCACUCACUUCCGCUGAAACGGAAGCCAAAUCGCUACUCCAAAAAAAUGGUCCUUGGACUUAGGCUCCCUGUGCUCUGCUUGGGAAACCCAUUUCGUCAUCCUCGCAAGGGGAAUCUGGUGCAAGCUGGGAGCUUGAGAGGGCUGUGCGUCCAGCAACAGCUGAGUAAUGCGUCGCAGGUGCUGAACAGGCCACAGCUCUGGCGGACUCACGCUUCAGACUCCGCUCACAGCAGCAGUGCGGGAGUCUCCCGACAGGAGGGACUGUGGAUUAGCCGAGAUCCCCGGGAGAGCCCGAUGGCUUGAUGGAUGUCCCUCCUGAGCGGCUGAGGGAGUAACCUGACACAAGACUAAACAACCACAGCGUACCCCAUUUUUCUUUAAAAAAAGACCGCGCUGACUUUAUUGACAGUCUUAACGCCACCCCAACCCCAACCCCUAUCCAUGGCAUUCACUGCACCAUCAUAAAAAUACAUACAGGCACCCAAGAAACGUUUGACCGUUUUCUGCACAUCAUCAACACUGUAACACCACACACAGCUAGGGAGGUUCCCUGAAGAAGAAACAUCCCUUUUGGAGAGAACCCGACACGUGUGCGAAGGCAGGUGUUAAAAUAAAGUUAAUAAAACCUCAGCGAAGCUGCAUGAAAGAGCUAAGGGACCAUACGACUUUUUUUCACUCCCCAAAAAAGGCAGAACAGUUACUGAUGAUGAGGAGGAUAAAACACAGAAACAGUGCAAGAGCAAAUAACAGCGACUUGUCCCUUAGAAGACAGCAGCUCUCAGAGUACUCCCUGACAUCACCAAGACAAGACUCACACUCAGACUUUGGUGCUGCAUCUUGUACUAACAGGUGAAACACAGGGAGGCUGGGAGCAAUCUGUUCAGAUUAAUACACUGAGUCAUUGUUGACUUGAACUAAGAACAAGAUCUUUAACCCUUUAGAGAGAGAGAGAGAAGGGGAUCAAUCAGUUUGAUCGACUCCUAAAGGAAAGAAAAGAACCUAUUGACUGUACAACAGUGGGACAGUUUCAUCACACAAAGCUCUGGUCUCAAAAUGAUCCCUUCUAGUUUCAAUCAAAAUCAAAUCUUUUAUCCGAUCUAAUUAACGUUUUGCCCCCAGUCACCCAGGGCACAGGAACACCCUUGGCUGUUCCAAUUUGCAAUUUAUAUUCUGGAAAACUGGCACAUCCAACCACCUGUAAUGACCAAUUAACAGCAGUGACAUCAUCCAUGUCCUUCUGUGAGCAACUGUGGAUUGCCCCCAGCUCACACACGCUCAUAUUAAUAAGUCACCUGAAAACAAGCUUGAGAAGGUGGAUAACUAUACUAAAAUGUAAAAUCUGAAUUGUGCAGAGUUGAUAAAUACUUAAUUAGCGGUCAUUUAACUUGAAUACUUGUUUGUAGAGAUCUAAAGAAACACCCAGAGCUGGACACUACCAAAUGGACCUGUGUUAAAAGGCAGAGGAUAGAGACAUGCUAUGCACACCCAAACCACAACUUACCUCCUAGGUCAUUCAGAGAGUCACUCAGGCCAGUGGUGACAAGCAAAGGGCCCAGGAACAGGUUAGUAACAGGCUUGGGUUGUGCAAGCACAAAUUUCUUACAACAUGUUUACAGAUGUCUCACUGCUGAAAGUGAGGGUCUGUGCAAAAUACCGCUCCAUGUUCAGUUUGUACAGGUGUGGCUCAUGCAUGAAUUAAGCAAAUAUCAUUCCAGCAUACUUAGGGUUGUGUCUAAAAAUUCUGGACAGACCUGGGUGCCCACAGUUAUGACCAACAUGACUACAAGAGUGGACCUUUGUGUCCACUACCUACACAUUAGCAAUGCAAUUAAGAAAUGGAGCAAACUACUGUACUAUUUUCACAAGACAUGUUUUAGAAGCAGCAGGGAACCCUGUUUGGUUGUACUGCAUUGCUCUAUUAACUCCAAUGCAUCAGCCAUCUUCUGCUUUUGAUUUAUGUUGCGCCGUCUAUUUACUUUCUACUUUCAAACAUUUGGUUUAGGGGCUGCUGGAAAUAUCUUGGUCUGCAAAAUGACCAGCUAGCAGGACACUCGCCUCUCUGUGGCAACGGCCAACAUUACAUCGGCGACUACCCAUCCAGCCGCUGCUUUAAUGGGCAAAACGUCCCACUGUAAAAGGUUAAGGUUAUUCUGAGGGCAAAAGAAAUUUUGCCUUUCUUAGAAAUAAAAGAAAUAUAAAAGCAAUGUGAUCUGAAACAAAAGAACUUCAUUAAGUUUAAAAACUAAGUAAAAAUACUAAAAAUGUUUUUCCACAAUACACAAUGCGUCAGUAAAUAACUUUGACCACUAAAACUGCCUCAGAGCGGUUUGAACAAACCAAUAGAGAAGGGAGAAAAAUUCAUGCCAAUAAGGCCAAUAAAAAAAUAUUCUCUCUCUCACAGCAUGGUUGACCUGGGACACCCUUCCCUGCUCCAGUGGGGGUGACGGCCCAACAGGUUUUACAGGGGUAUCAGUUUCUUAAGAAACCUUCUGGCACCAGUCAACAGCUGCUCUUCGAACUCGGCCUGGGAACACUGGACUGAUGACAACGCAGGUCUAGGUUCUUUAUAGCCAUAGGUUUAAGAGCACCCUGCUGGACUGUGAAAUGAUCAUUUCAUUACUUAAAUUAUUCCAUGACCUGCUAAACUAACUGAAGUGCUUUUGUCCCAUGUCUUGAGAAACAUGCAUUAUGAAGGAUAACCUACAACACCCACUGAUUUGUGCCUCUCCUGGGAGACAGGCAUGGCCGCCCCUUGUCAUACGAGUCAGGAGAAGCUACCGUACAGCUGGGAAGUGUGGCCUGGGGUCUGGCUGCCUGGCACUGAAUAUUUCUCCACGCUGAGCUGCACCCAGGAGAAAUUAUCAAGGGAAAACCCUUCGUUCUUCUCGCUGCUCUCCAGUCGCUAAUAUAUUCUGUUGGUCAACAAUGGUCUGGGCGCUGCACUACUAGCAAGCACCCCUGGACGUGCUCCUGAAGUGUACAUUUGAGGAAAAGUCAGCCUGAGGUCCACUGCAGAUAGCGCUCCCAUUUCCCAGCUCGCAGCCAUGGUGAUCUUGCACGCUCACCCGGUUGCACGGGCGACGUAUCCCAUGACCCCCGUCAGGUGCACGCAACAUCAGAGCAAAGCCCUCCUCUGGGGAGAAGACAGGGGUCCAGCGGCAACCGUGUCCAGCAGGUCAGCCUGGGCCCUGCGGUCACGGCCUGCAGGACUGGGGUUGGUCUCGGAUGAGAAAGGAGCAUCUGCCACCACAGCUGGGGCUCUGCGGGUCACAGCUCGAGAGCCGUGGCUUGACGCAAGUCACUGUUCCAAUGUUCGAAGCCUGUUGUAUGUACAUGCUGCAGUACAAAACUUUAAAGCAGUAGAUGCUCCGGGUGGAUCGGCAUCUUAUGAAGCACAGGGGCAAAUCUACAGGCACAAUCAAGGGUUAUAAUGGGUGCUUAUAUUUCUGCCAGUACUGUAAACUCCCCCCC
ensembl:lincRNA